UUAAAUAUACAGUCUGGCCUGCCCACUGUAGUUUUGCUAUAAAGGGCUGCGGUACUUUGACCGUGCAAAGGUAGCAUAAUGAUUAGUCUUUUAAUUGAAGACUGGAAUGAACGGUCGGAUGAGGGACAUGCUGUCUCUUUUGGGUUAUUAGAAUUUAACUUUUUAGUGAAAAGGCUGAAAUAAACUGGGGGGACGAUAAGACCCUAUAAAACUUAAUAUUUGUUGUUUUGGUUUUAAGAUUUCUGUUUAAUUUAGAUUUAAACAAUAUAUAUUUCGUUGGGGAGAUGUUGACAUAAUAUGUAACUGUCUUAUUUAAUUUAAUAAAUUUAUUUAGAAUUAUGAUCCCUUAAUAAGGAUUAAUAGGUUAAGUUACUUUAGGGAUAACAGCGUAAUUUUCUUUGAGAGUUCUUAUCGACAAGAUUAGUUGCGACCUCGAUGUUGAAUUAAAAUUUCCGAUUAGUGUAGCCGCUUUUCUGGUGGGUCUGUUCGACCUUUAAAAUUUUACAUGAUUUGAGUUCAAACCGGUGUGAG
rnacentral:rRNA from 1 species